UUUGUCCUCUUGUAUGAAGCAUAAGAAAAUGUAACGAGCUCUCGACUCAAGAUUCUCAUUAUGCGAUACGAGAUGUUAUGCUAGAGUCAUGGCCGAGCUGGAUUUUUCAUCGAUUCAAUUGUGUAAGCGGCUAAAAAUAUCGGGAGGCGCCACCUCAAAAUAUGCUGGAGGUUACAUGCGCACUCCCGAGUAUUUAUAACUCGCUGGAACUUGAAGGACCAUAAAGUUACACGAGCUUUCGAAUGACGCUUGUCGCGCGAUAUUUCGGCCGCUCGUUGACUCGUUUACGAGCCAAACAAAUCCAAAAGUGGAUCACACCAAAGCUUUUGCUAUCGAGCAUCGCCCCCUCGACUAGAGCGUUAACGAGAUAUUACCAAGACUUAAAUACUUCAUCUAUCAAAACUUCAAGAAUAAAUAAUGCAGACCGCGGAGCAGCUUUUGUUUCAUCGUGCUUCAGAAAACGCGAUUUUUUAUGCUGCAAUUUAAAAAAAAAUGAAAUAAAUUCCUUUACAAAGUUUAAAU